GAGUUUGAUCCUGGCUCAGGAUGAACGCUGGCGGCGUGCUUAACACAUGCAAGUCGAACGAAGCACCUUAUUCUGAUUUCUUCGGAAUGAAAAAUUUGGUGACUGAGUGGCGGACGGGUGAGUAACGCGUGGGUAACCUGCCUCAUACAGGGGGAUAACAGUUAGAAAUGACUGCUAAUACCGCAUAAGACCACGGCACCGCAUGGUGCAGGGGUAAAAACUCCGGUGGUAUGAGAUGGACCCGCGUCUGAUUAGGUAGUUGGUGGGGUAACGGCCUACCAAGCCGACGAUCAGUAGCCGACCUGAGAGGGUGACCGGCCACAUUGGGACUGAGACACGGCCCAAACUCCUACGGGAGGCAGCAGUGGGGAAUAUUGCACAAUGGGGGGAACCCUGAUGCAGCGACGCCGCGUGAGUGAAGAAGUAUCUCGGUAUGUAAAGCUCUAUCAGCAGGGAAGAAAAUGACGGUACCUGACUAAGAAGCCCCGGCUAACUACGUGCCAGCCGCCGCGGUAAUUC
rnacentral:rRNA from 1 species